rnacentral:rRNA from 1 species
UACGUAGGGGGCAAGCGUUGUCCGGAUUUAUUGGGCGUAAAGAGCGUGUAGGCGGUCCGGUAAGUCCGCUGUGAAAGUCGGGGGCUCAACCCUCGAAUGCCGGUGGAUACUGUCGGGCUAGAGUGCGGAAGAGGCGAGUGGAAUUCCUGGUGUAGCGGUGAAAUGCGCAGAUAUCAGGAGGAACACCAAUAGCGAAGGCAGCUCGCUGGGACGGUACUGACGCUGAGACGCGAAAGCGUGGGGAGCAAACAGG